AUUGAACGCUGGCGGCAGGCCUAACACAUGCAAGUCGAACGAGUGGCGGACGGGUGAGUAAUGUCUGGGAAACUGCCUGAUGGAGGGGGAUAACUACUGGAAACGGUAGCAAAUACCGCAUACAAUAAGAUGUGCCCAGAUGGGCUUAGCUAGUAGGUGGGGUAAUGGCUCACCUAGGCGACGAUCACUAGCUGGUCUGAGAGGAUGACCAGCCACACUGGAACUGAGCCACGGUCCAGACUCCUACGGGAGGCAGCAGUGGGGAAUAUUGCACAAUGGGCGCAAGCCUGAUGCAGCCAUGCCGCGUGUGUGAAGAAGGCCUUCGGGUUGUAAAGCACUUUCAGCGAGGAGGCGUUACUCGCAGAAGAAGCACCGGCUAACUCCGUGCCAGCAGCCGCGGUAAUAC
rnacentral:rRNA from 1 species